rnacentral:tRNA from 1 species
UGCUCUGCUGGGCAAUGGCCGCGGUCAGCUCCUUCAGGGCGGAGCGGUCCAGCGGCUUCAGGUUCCAGGCCCGGUAGGUCGUC